rnacentral:rRNA from 1 species
CAGUAGCCGCGGGAAUACCGAGGGUGCAAGCGUUAAUCGGAAUUACUGGGCGUAAAGCGCGCGUAGGUGGUUCGCCAAGUUGGAUGUGAAAUCCCCGGGCUCAACCUGGGAACUGCAUCCAAAACUGGCGAGCUAGAGUAUGGUAGAGGGUGGUGGAAUUUCCUGUGUAGCGGUGAAAUGCGUAGAUAUAGGAAGGAACAUCAGUGGCGAAGGCGACCACCUGGACUGAUACUGACACUGAGGUGCGAAAGCGUGGGGAGCAAACAGGAUUAGAUACCCCAGUAGUCCCUGUCUCUUAUAC